GGAGAUAUAACUCAGUUGGUAGAGAGUUGCUUGAAUUAAUCCAUGGUUAGUAAAGUAAAAGGUCAAAGGUUCGAAUCCUUUUAUCUCCUCC
rnacentral:tRNA from 1 species